GCCAAUCAGCAGCAGACCCUCCCUCUCAGACCCUCCCACCUCCUGGACAGCUCACUAACAAUGCAGCUUCACAAUGAAUGUAAAAUGGAUGCUGUCCAGGAGGUGGGAGGGUCUGGGAGGGAGGGUCUGCUGCUGAUUGG